rnacentral:tRNA from 1 species
CGAUAUCGGCAGGACUCGAACCUGCAACCUUCUGUACUUCCCAAGACCGGAAACAGAUGCGCUACCAUUGCGCCACGACACC